rnacentral:rRNA from 1 species
GACGAACGCUGGCGGUGUGCCUAAUACAUGCAAGUAGAACGCUGAAGAGAGGAGCUUACUCUUCUUGGAUGAGUUGCGAACGGGUGAGUAACGCGUAGGUAACCUGCCUUGUAGCGGGGGAUAACUAUUGGAAACGAUAGCUAAUACCGCAUAACAAUGGAUGACACAUGUCAUUUAUUUGAAAGGGGCAAUUGCUCCACUACAAGAUGGACCUGCGUUGUAUUAGCUAGUAGGUGAGGUAAUGGCUCACCUAGGCGACGAUACAUAGCCGACCUGAGAGGGUGAUCGGCCACACUGGGACUGAGACACGGCCCAGACUCCUACGGGAGGCAGCAGUAGGGAAUCUUCGGCAAUGGGGGCAACCCUGACCGAGCAACGCCGCGUGAGUGAAGAAGGUUUUCGGAUCGUAAAGCUCUGUUGUAAGUCAAGAACGGGUGUGAGAGUGGAAAGUUCACACUGUGACGGUAGCUUACCAGAAAGGGACGGCUAACUACGUG